rnacentral:rRNA from 1 species
GCAAGGUUAAAACUCAAAUGAAUUGACGGGGGCCCGCACAAGCGGUGGAGCAUGUGGUUUAAUUCGAUGCAACGCGAAGAACCUUACCUGGUCUUGACAUCCACAGAACUUUCCAGAGAUGGAUUGGUGCCUUCGGGAACUGUGAGACAGGUGCUGCAUGGCUGUCGUCAGCUCGUGUUGUGAAAUGUUGGGUUAAGUCCCGCAACGAGCGCAACCCUUAUCCUUUGUUGCCAGCGGUCCGGCCGGGAACUCAAAGGAGACUGCCAGUGAUAAACUGGAGGAAGGUGGGGAUGACGUCAAGUCAUCAUGGCCCUUACGACCAGGGCUACACACGUGCUACAAUGGCGCAUACAAAGAGAAGCGACCUCGCGAGAGCAAGCGGACCUCAUAAAGUGCGUCGUAGUCC